UUUUUUUCACGUUUAGCAUUUCAGGUACAGUUUUAUUUAAAAUCGGGGAUUUGUUUUAUUCGAUUAUAAACUAAUUUAAAAGUAACUAAAAGAUACAUUUAUAAUCUACACUGUAAUACACGCAAAACAAUUAUGGAAGUUAUUGUGCAAGAACACUUCGAAAAAAUUUACCAAUUCUAUGAGGAAAAAGAAUUUUGUGAUGUAACCUUGGUUACUGAUGAAGGCUUAAAAAUAGAAGCUCACAGAAAUAUAUUGGCUUCUGCGAGUCAUGUAUUUUAUACGAUGUUCAGCGGUCAGUUUAAAGAAAGAAACAAAAAUGAGAUUCUUAUAAAAGAAAUAGAUUCUGAAAUUUUAGAAUUGGUGGUGAAAUUUGCAUAUACUUGUAAAUUGGAUAUUAAAGAAAACAAUUUUCAGAAACUGUUAAUGGCUGCCAAUAUGUAUGGUCUAAAUCAUAUAAAAGAGUUAUGUUUUAAAUAUAUUAAAGAAAACAUAAAUCCUACAAAUUGUGUUAGUUUUAUGAAAACUUCUAAAUUAAUAUCAUACGAAAAGAUUUACAAUUUUUGUUGGUCAUAUUUUUUAAACAA